rnacentral:tRNA from 1 species
GGAGGACUAGUCUAAUUGGUAAGGCAGCGGAUUUGAAAUCCGCCGCGGUUUAUCCCGCUUCGGGGUUCGAGUCCCCGGUCCUCCGCCA